UUUACUCGGAGAACUUGCGAUCGA
rnacentral:siRNA from 1 species